ACAUCUACAGGCUAGGCUGCAAGGAACACGCUCAAUGUGAGCACGACAUUCAUCUGGUGGGACGGCGGGCGAUCGGAAGGCUGGUGUGUAGUGAGUGCUGUGACCACACAGGAUGCCAGACAGGCCUUUGUUCGCAUUACGCUCACCAACCAACCACCACUCCGCCACCAGUCA